UAAAUACCGCAUACGACCUACGGGUGAAAGCAGGGGAUCUACUUGUAGACCUUGCGCGGAUGGAUGAGCCGAUGCCGGAUUAGCUAGUUGGAGGGGUAAAGGCCCACCAAGGCGACGAUCCGUAGCUGGUCUGAGAGGAUGAUCAGCCACACUGGGACUGAGACACGGCCCAGACUCCUACGGGAGGCAGCAGUGGGGAAUAUUGGACAAUGGGCGCAAGCCUGAUCCAGCCAUGCCGCGUGUGUGAAGAAGGCCUUCGGGUUGUAAAGCACUUUUGUUGGGAAAGAAAAGCUGCCGGUUAAUACCCGGGGGUCAUGACGGUACCCAAAGAAUAAGCACCGGCUAACUUCGUGC
rnacentral:rRNA from 1 species